CCCGCACAAGCGGAGGAACAUGUGGUUUAAUUCGAUUGAUACGCGAGGAACCUUACCUGGGCUUAAAUGGGGAGUGACAGCUGUCGAAAGAUGGUUUUCUUCGGACACUCUUCAAGGUGCUGCAUGGUUGUCGUCAGCUCGUGCCGUGAGGUGUCGGGUUAAGUCCCAUAACGAGCGCAACCCUUACCGUUAGUUACCAUCAGGUUAAGCUGGGGACUCUAGCGGGACUGCCACCGUAAGGUGAGAGGAAGGUGGGGAUGACGUCAAAUCAGCACGGCCCUUAUGUCCAGGGCUACACACGUGUUACAAUGGCCGGUACAAAGGGCAGCUACUUCGCGAGAAGAUGCUAAUCUCGAAAGCCGGUCUCAGUUCGGAUCGAAGUCUGCAACCCGACUUCGUGAAGCUGGAUUCGCUAGUAAUCGCGCAUCAGCCAUGGCGCGGUGAAUACGUUCCCGGGCCUU
rnacentral:rRNA from 1 species